rnacentral:rRNA from 2 species
UACAGAGGGUGCGAGCGUUAAUCGGAAUUACUGGGCGUAAAGCGCGCGUAGGCGGCUUUGCAAGUCGGGUGUGAAAUCCCCAAGCUUAACUUGGGAACUGCAUUCGAGACUGCAUUGCUAGAGUAUGGGAGAGGGAAGUGGAAUUUCCGGUGUAGCGGUGAAAUGCGUAGAUAUCGGAAGGAACAUCAGUGGCGAAAGCGACUUCCUGGACCAAUACUGACGCUCAUGUGCGAAAGCGUGGGGAGCAAACAGG